rnacentral:rRNA from 1 species
UGGAGAGUUUGAUCCUGGCUCAGAUUGAACGCUGGCGGCAGGCCUAACACAUGCAAGUCGAGCGGCAGCACGGGUACUUGUACCUGGUGGCGAGCGGCGGACGGGUGAGUAAUGCCUAGGAAUCUGCCUGGUAGUGGGGGAUAACGCUCGGAAACGGRCGCUAAUACCGCAUACGUCCUACGGGAGAAAGCAGGGGACCUUCGGGCCUUGCGCUAUCAGAUGAGCCUAGGUCGGAUUAGCUAGUUGGUGAGGUAAUGGCUCACCAAGGCGACGAUCCGUAACUGGUCUGAGAGGAUGAUCAGUCACACUGGAACUGAGACACGGUCCAGACUCCUACGGGAGGCAGCAGUGGGGAAUAUUGGACAAUGGGCGAAAGCCUGAUCCAGCCAUGCCGCGUGUGUGAAGAAGGUCUUCGGAUUGUAAAGCACUUUAAGUUGGGAGGAAGGGCAGUUACCUAAUACGUAAUUGUUUUGACGUUACCGACAGAAUAAGCACCGGCUAACUCUGUGCCAGCAGCCGCGGUA